rnacentral:tRNA from 1 species
GGUGGCAUAGCUCAGUUGGUAGAGCAUGGGAUUCAUAAGCCCAGGGUCGGUGGUUCAAAUCCACCUGCCACCA